CCCGCGCCCGCUCGCCGCCUCGGCCACCCGCGAUGAUAGCGCAGGCGAGGGGCAAGGCUGAGAAGAGAGAAGAGAACGCGGCUGGCGGUGCUGCGGAUGAAGCCGGGUAGUACUUCAUGGACCCGAACCAGGUGAUGGAGAUGGCCUACCCCUACUGUCGCCGACGCUCGCUAAGCCGUGCCGGGCAUGCCGGCGUGGUUCUACUCCUGUGCUCCGAGGUUAUUGAUCUUGAGAUGGCUGCCUCAACUGAAAUUGUGCCCUUUAAAGACUUAUCCAUCUACACAAGACUGCAGGGUUGCUUGAAGCCUCUGUUAUCAUUGGGGCAAUCAUCGGAGGUGCCAUGGAUGAGCAAAUUAAGUGACUGAAAGUAUGCAAGGUCACAAUAAUGCUGUUGUUCCAAGUAGUUUGUAACAUGCUUGAUGUGAAAAUAGCAGGGAAAGACUACGCAAGUGACAAAAUCACAUACCCCAAGUUACUGAAGUUAGAGAUAUCUCAUGACUUUGCACAAAAGAUACAACGAAGCAGCUUACUGGUUUCACCAGGCAGGACCUCUAUUGCAUUAAACGAAUUAGAUCGCCUUUAUACACAGAACUAAGGUGAUGUUUACCAGCGUUUGUAAUUAUCUCAAUCAUAUUCUGUAGCUUUCUAUCUUGGUGUGUAAAGGGGAUAUUUAUCAGUGACACCUAAUCAUUAAUCCUAUGAAUGAUCGGUGAAAUGCUCCAAACA